GCCUNUGGCCACACCACCCUGAAAACACCCGAACUCAUCUGAUCUCNGAAGUUAAGCAGGGUCAGGGAGUGAGCAAGUGGCUGCGUGGCUCUGGUCUGCCNGCUGGGCU
rnacentral:rRNA from 1 species